GAUUAGAUACCCUAUUAUAUUUAAACAAAUUGGGUAGUAUUAUUAAUAAAAACCUUUAUACUUUGGCGGCAUUUUAUCUUAUUAGAGGAAUAUGUUCAUUAAUCGAAACCACACGAUAGUUUUUACUUACUAUAAAAUUUUAUAUACCCCCGUCUAAAGAAUUUAUUUAAAAUUUUUAUUCCAAAUUAUAUUAAAAAAAGUUAGGUAAAGGUGUAGACUAUUAGUAAGAUUAAAUGUAUUACAUUAAAAAAAAUUUAAGGAUAAAACAGUUAACUGUUUAUUAAAAGAGGAUUUAUAAGUAAUUUACUUUUAAUAAAAAUUAAUGAAUAAGAAAAUAAAUGUGCACAUAUCGCCCGUCACUC
rnacentral:rRNA from 1 species